rnacentral:rRNA from 1 species
GACGAACGUUGGCGGCGUGCUUAACACAUGCAAGUCGAACGGAAAGGCCCUGCUUUUGUGGGGUGCUCGAGUGGCGAACGGGUGAGUAACACGUGAGUAACCUGCCCUUGACUUUGGGAUAACUUCAGGAAACUGGGGCUAAUACCGGAUAGGAGCUCCUGCUGCAUGGUGGGGGUUGGAAAGUUUCGGCGGUUGGGGAUGGACUCGCGGCUUAUCAGCUUGUUGGUGGGGUAGUGGCUUACCAAGGCUUUGACGGGUAGCCGGCCUGAGAGGGUGACCGGCCACAUUGGGACUGAGAUACGGCCCAGACUCCUACGGGAGGCAGCAGUGGGGAAUAUUGCACAAUGGGCGGAAGCCUGAUGCAGCAACGCCGCGUGCGGGAUGACGGCCUUCGGGUUGUAAACCGCUUUCGCCUGUGACGAAGCGUGAGUGACGGUAAUGGGUAAAGAAGCACCGGCUAACUACGUGCCAGCAGCCGCGGUGAUACGUAGGGUGCGAGCGUUGUCCGGAUUUAUUGGGCGUAAAGGGCUCGUUGGUGGUUGAUCGCGUCGGAAGUGUAAUCUUGGGGCUUAACCCUGAGCGUGCUUUCGAUACGGGUUGACUUGAGGAAGGUAGGGGAGAAUGGAAUUCCUGGUGGAGCGGUGGAAUGCGCAGAUAUCAGGAGGAACACCAGUGGCGAAGGCGGUUCUCUGGGCCUUUCCUGACGCUGAGGAGCGAAAGCGUGGGGAGCGAACAGGCUUAGAUACCCUGGUAGUCCACGCUGUAAACGGUGGGUACUAGGUGUGGGGUCCAUUCCACGGGUUCCGUGCCGUAGCUAACGCUUUAAGUACCCCGCCUGGGGAGUACGGCCGCAAGGCUAAAACUCAAAGGAAUUGACGGGGCCCCGCACAAGCGGCGGAGCAUGCGGAUUAAUUCGAUGCAACGCGUAGAACCUUACCUGGGUUUGACAUGGAUCGGGAGUGCUCAGAGAUGGGUGUGCCUCUUUUGGGGUCGGUUCACAGGUGGUGCAUGGCUGUCGUCAGCUCGUGUCGUGAGAUGUUGGGUUAAGUCCCGCAACGAGCGCAACCCUUGUUCACUGUUGCCAGCACGUUAUGGUGGGGACUCAGUGGAGACCGCCGGGGUCAACUCGGAGGAAGGUGGGGAUGACGUCAAGUCAUCAUGCCCCUUAUGUCCAGGGCUUCACGCAUGCUACAAUGGCUGGUACAGAGAGUGGCGAGCCUGUGAGGGUGAGCGAAUCUCGGAAAGCCGGUCUCAGUUCGGAUUGGGGUCUGCAACUCGACCUCAUGAAGUCGGAGUCGCUAGUAAUCGCAGAUCAGCAACGCUGCGGUGAAUACGUUCCCGGG